rnacentral:rRNA from 1 species
AUGGGUAUUCGAGGGAACUUUCUAGGGUUCGUCUUCCCAGAAGGAGUCCUCGAAAACAUUCUUCAAGAUCCCAGGGAAAAUGGACCCUGGGAAGUUCCUCCAGAAGGAUCUUCCCCGAAAAGAAUUUCCUCGGCAAGAGCCCCCGGUGAAUCCAUUCCCGACAAGGAGACUCCGGGAAGGAUCGAGAGUGAAGCCAUUCCCGACAAACAAUUCUGGGAAGGCCCGAGAGCAGGACAGUUCCCCGUGACAACGUGGCGGCCGGAACCACCAUCAAAUAAGAAGUGCCUCCCUAUCCCAACAUUCCAGGUACCAUUUUUGUCGAGGGGAUGA